UACGUAGGGGGCAAGCGUUGCCCGGAAUCAUUGGGCGUAAAGAGCGUGUAGGCGGCCCGAUACGUCCGCCGUGAAAGUCCAGGGCUCAACCCUGGAAUGCCGGUGGAAACUGUCGGGCUGGAGUCCGGAAGAGGCGAGUGGAAUUCCUGGUGUAGCGGUGAAAUGCGCAGAUAUCAGGAGGAACACCAAUGGCGAAGGCAGCUCGCUGGGACGGUACUGACGCUGAGACGCGAAAGCGUGGGGAGCAAACAGG
rnacentral:rRNA from 1 species